rnacentral:rRNA from 1 species
AUUAUCGUAGGGCUUCGGCCCUGUCGAGAUAGAACCCUUGCCUUUUUGAGUACCUUUCGUUUCCUCGGCAGGCUCGCCUGCCAAUGGGGACCACAAAAAACACUUUGCAGUACCUGUAACAGUCUGAACAAACAAAACAAAAAUUAAAACUUUCAACAACGGAUCUCUUGGUUCUGGCAUCGAUGAAGAACGCAGCGAAAUGCGAUAAGUAGUGUGAAUUGCAGAAUUCAGUGAAUCAUCGAAUCUUUGAACGCACAUUGCGCCCUUUGGUAUUCCUUAGGGCAUGCCUGUUCGAGCGUCAUUUAAACCUUCAAGCUAAGCUUGGUGUUGGGUGACUGUCCGCUUCACUGCGGACUCGCCUCAAAAUUAUUGGCGGCCGGUACAUUGGCUUCGAGCGCAGCAGAAACGCGAACUCGGGCCCGUCGUAUUGGCUCCCAGAAGCUAUCUUCACAAUUUUGACCUCGGAUCAGGUAGGGAUACCCGCUGAACUUAAGCAUAUCAAUAAGCGGAGGA